GAUGAACGCUGGCGGCGUGCCUAAUACAUGCAAGUCGAGCGAACAGACGAGGAGCUUGCUCCUCUGACGUUAGCGGCGGACGGGUGAGUAACACGUGGAUAACCUACCUAUAAGACUGGGAUAACUUCGGGAAACCGGAGCUAAUACCGGAUAAUAUAUUGAACCGCAUGGUUCAAUAGUGAAAGACGGUUUUGCUGUCACUUAUAGAUGGAUCCGCGCCGCAUUAGCUAGUUGGUAAGGUAACGGCUUACCAAGGCAACGAUGCGUAGCCGACCUGAGAGAGUGAUCGGCCACACGGGGACUGAGACACGGUCAAGACUCCUACGGGAGGCAGCAGUAGGGAAUCUUCCGCAAUGGGCGAAAGCCUGACGGAGAAACGCCGCGUGAGUGAUGAAGGUCUUCGGAUCGUAAAACUCUGUUAUUAGGGAAGAACAAAUGUGUAAGUAACUAUGCACGUCUUGACGGUACCUAAUCAGAAAGCCACGGCUAACUACGUG
rnacentral:rRNA from 1 species